UAGUGUUACAGCUCUUUUAGAAUUUGUCUAGCAGGUUUUCUGGUCUCUACGGGAAGACAGCCUCC